rnacentral:rRNA from 1 species
GAUAAACGCUGGCGGCGUGCAUGAGACAUGCAAGUCGAACGAAGGAUCGGGCUUGCUCGAUCCUUAGUGGCGGACGGCUGAGUAACGCGUAGGUGACCUACCCCGAAGUGGGGAAUAACUGCCCGAAAGGGUGGCUAAUACCGCAUGUGGUCGCACGUUCAUUCGUGCGAGUAAAGCCGCAAGGCGCUUCGGGAGGGGCCUGCGUCCGAUUAGCUCGUUGGUGGGGUAAUGGCUUACCAAGGCGACGAUCGGUAGGUGGUCUGAGAGGACGAUCACCCAGACUGGGACUGAGACACGGCCCAGACUCCUACGGGAGGCAGCAGUCGGGAAUUUUGCUCAAUGGGGGAAACCCUGAAGCAGCAACGCCGCGUGAGGGAUGAAGGCCUUCGGGUUGUAAACCUCUUUUGUCAGGGACGAUGAGGACGGUACCUGGCGAAUAAGCCACGGCUAACUACGU